rnacentral:snoRNA from 1 species
AUGUUAGCACUUUCUAAUGAUCUCAUUAAACCUCUCCCAUGCUUCAAACACAGUUUCAGACUCUUUCUGGAAGAAAUUAUGGAUUUCUCUUCUAAACUU